CACGUCGGGCGCAAGCGUUGUCCGGACUUAUUGGGCGUAAAGAGCUCGUAGGCGGUCUGUUGCGUCUGCUGUGAAAACCCGGGGCUUAACCCCUGGCUUGCAGUGGAUACGGACAGACUAGAGGUAGGUAGGGGAGAAUGGAAUUCCCGGUGUAGCGGUGAAAUGCGCAGAUAUCGGGAGGAACACCGGUGGCGAAGGCGGUUCUCUGGGCCUUACCUGACGCUGAGGAGCGAAAGCGUGGGGAGCGAACAGG
rnacentral:rRNA from 1 species